CAAGAUUCAACUGCUCUGCUACUAAUUGGUCUCAAUUAGUGGGAUCUACAGUACCUCUUGCCAAGCCACAGGAACACACCGCACCUUAAGAAUCAAACAUGAGCGUACCAAAGAACUUCCGGUGGUGUGCUGGUCACUUCUUGCCAGAUUCCUCCUGCUGCUUUCCUCCCUGGCCGACCCGUGGAGCCUCAGUUUCUUCUGGAUCAAGGCACGGCUGUUGAUUUGUGUUUGGUGUUUUGCUAGUGGACUGGACUGCUGACAAGAAGGCUGAAGACUACUUCUACAGGCCCAUGCCCUCCCUGUCCUAUCAGACAUUUUCCUCCUCUACCUUUGGUUGGUUGAAGCAUGUAAGAACAAUCAUUAAGGUAAGUUUUGAAAAAAA
rnacentral:lncRNA from 1 species